CUUGGGCCUGGCUGGCCGGUCCGCCUCACCGCGUGCACUGGUCCGGCCGGGCCUUUCCCUCUGCGGAACCCCAUGCCCUUCACUGGGUGUGGCGGGGAAACAGGACUUUUACUUUGAAAAAAUUAGAGUGCUCAAGGCAGGCCUAUGCUCGAAUACAUUAGCAUGGAAUAAUAGAAUAGGACGUGUGGUUCUAUUUUGUUGGUUUCUAGGACCGCCGUAAUGAUUAAUAGGGACAGUCGGGGGCAUCAGUAUUCAAUUGUCAGAGGCGAAAUUCUUGGAUUUAUUGAAGACUAACUACUGCGAAAGCAUUUGCCAAGGAUGUUUUCAUUAAUCAGGAACGAAAGUUAGGGGAUCGAAGACGAUCAGAUACCGUCGUAGUCUUAACCAUAAACUAUGCCGACUAGGGAUCGGACGAUGUUACAUUUUUGACGCGUUCGGCACCUUACGAGAAAUCAAAGUGCUUGGGCUCCAGGGGGAGUAUGGUCGCAAGGCUGAAACUUAGAGAAAUUGACGGAAGGGCACCCACCAGGGGUGGAGCCUGCGGCUUAAUUUGACUCAACACGGGGAAACUCACCAGGUCCAGACACAGUGAGGAUUGACAGAUUGAGAGCUCUUUCUUGAUUUUGUGGGUGGUGGUGCAUGGCCGUUCUUAGUUGGUGGAGUGAUUUGUCUGCUUAAUUGCGAUAACGAACGAGACCUUAACCUGCUAAAUAGCCCGUAUUGCUUUGGCAGUACGCCGGCUUCUUAGAGGGACUAUCGGCUCAAGCCGAUGGAAGUUUGAGGCAAUAACAGGUCUGUGAUGCCCUUAGAUGUUCUGGGCCGCACGCGCGCUACACUGACAGAGCCAGCGAGUACUCCCUUGGCCGGAAGGCCUGGGUAAUCUUGUUAAACUCUGUCGUGCUGGGGAUAGAGCAUUGCAAUUA
rnacentral:rRNA from 1 species